rnacentral:SRP_RNA from 9 species
GGCAGACGCCUUGCUAAUUUGGAGGCUCAGAGCUACGUGCACCGCGGCAAGGUGGCAAUAGAGCAGGGAGUUGCUCUGGCACCAUUUGGUG